rnacentral:rRNA from 1 species
AGCGAACGCUGGCGGCAGGCUUAACACAUGCAAGUCGAGCGGGCGUAGCAAUACGUCAGCGGCAGACGGGUGAGUAACGCGUGGGAACGUACCUUUUGGUUCGGAACAACACAGGGAAACUUGUGCUAAUACCGGAUAAGCCCUUACGGGGAAAGAUUUAUCGCCGAAAGAUCGGCCCGCGUCUGAUUAGCUAGUUGGUGAGGUAAUGGCUCACCAAGGCGACGAUCAGUAGCNGGUCUGAGAGGAUGAUCAGCCACAUUGGGACUGAGACACGGCCCAAACUCCUACGGGAGGCAGCAGUGGGGAAUAUUGGACAAUGGGCGGCAAGCCUGAUCCAGCCAUGCCGCGUGAGUGAUGAAGG